AAUGUGGGAAGAUGCCUCACCCAUCACUCACCCGCAUCAAGGGGAAGAUACUGGAUCCUGGUAAGAAGAGGGUUUUUUUUACCUGUCUAGAGUGGAAAAUCACCAAAACUACCCAACAUGCCAGAAUGAAAUUGAUGCACAGCCAUGCAUCCUGACACCAGAAAGGUCAUCAGUUUGAUUUCUCAAUGUCUUUGUGCAUCGUCGUUUCAUUUGGAACAGCAAUCAGUUGUGCCCAUCGAUCUUUAGCACCCUAUAUUCAAUUUUCAUGCAGCUGUUUGCCGGGGUGGAACUAAAAACUUUCUGGAAUCACUUCAUCCAUCAUGGAACUGCACCCACUUCUGAGGUGUACUGAAGCAGACAUUUAACAGCACCCAACAACACGACCUAAGUUUAAGAUGGGAAGUGAAGACCUCAUAGUACAGCAUCCAGAUAAAAUUGCAAAUGUCAAGUGAAAUUCACCAAUUGAAAGGAGAAGAGCAAAAGGGAGAUGACUAUUUUUAUGUAAAAUAAAUCAUUUUGCUAAUCGGGUUGGGAUUUUGCUGCUGGGAGUUGAGGAGGGCAAAAGGAGAACAGUAAUUUUUAGAGUUGCCACUUUAAAAUACAGCCCUUCUUGCUUCAACAUUGCUUUGAUGCAGUAUCAGAGCAGAAGCCUCUUGAAGUACGGUAAUGUCAAGCUCAAACGGGCAUAUUUUAAAGUAACAGGAAGUAAAUUAAGCUAAUUAAACACUCAGUGCUUUGAGUUUUUUUAAGCAUGUUUGCUUGCCAAGCAAAUUUUUCCAAGCUUUCACAGCUAUGAUCAUAACCUACAUUUUAGGAGGUAACUAUUUCUCCGAGUUGUGGGCUUAAAUCUAAA